rnacentral:rRNA from 1 species
AGGACGAACGCUGGCGGCGUGCUUAACACAUGCAAGUCGAACGGAAAGGCCCUGCUUUUGUGGGGUGCUCGAGUGGCGAACGGGUGAGUAACACGUGAGUAACCUGCCCUUGACUUUGGGAUAACUUCAGGAAACUGGGGCUAAUACCGGAUAGGAGCUCCUGCUGCAUGGUGGGGGUUGGAAAGUUUCGGCGGUUGGGGAUGGACUCGCGGCUUAUCAGCUUGUUGGUGGGGUAGUGGCUUACCAAGGCUUUGACGGGUAGCCGGCCUGAGAGGGUGACCGGCCACAUUGGGACUGAGAUACGGCCCAGACUCCUACGGGAGGCAGCAGUGGGGAAUAUUGCACAAUGGGCGGAAGCCUGAUGCAGCAACGCCGCGUGCGGGAUGACGGCCUUCGGGUUGUAAACCGCUUUCGCCUGUGACGAAGCGUGAGUGACGGUAAGUGGUAAAGAGCGACCGGCUAACACGUGCCAGCAGCCGC